CUCGGCGUUCCGCGCCGCCGGAUAACCGUAGUAAUUCUAGGGCUAAUACGUGCGAAGCGCCCGAAGCCGCGAGGCGACGGGCGUUCUCGCCGGAUGUAGGAACCGACCCGGGGACCGCCGGGGCAACCCCGGCGCCCCCGAGACGGGGCGAACCACGGUGAAAUGACGGAUCGUCGGCCCCGCGCCGGCGACUCGCCGAAUGAGUUUCUGACCUAUCAACUCGAGACGGCGGGGUAGAGGCCCGCCGCGGUAACGACGGGUAACGGGGAUCAGGUUCGAUUCCGGAGAGGGGAGCCCCGAGAAACGGCUACCACUUCCAAGGAAGGCAGCAGGCGCGCAACUUACCCUAAUCUCGAUUCGAGGAGGUAGUGACAAGAAAUACCGAUGCGGGACCCUACGGGUGCCGCGUUCGGAAU
rnacentral:rRNA from 1 species